rnacentral:rRNA from 1 species
UACGAAGGGGGCUAGCGUUGCUCGGAAUCACUGGGCGUAAAGGGCGCGUAGGCGGCCGAUCAAGUCAGUGGUGAAAGCCUUUGGCUCAACCACAGAAUUGCCUUUGAUACUGUUCGGCUCGAGUCCGGAAGAGGUUGGUGGAACUGCGAGUGUAGAGGUGAAAUUCGUAGAUAUUCGCAAGAACACCAGUGGCGAAGGCGGCCAACUGGUCCGGUUCUGACGCUGAGGCGCGAAAGCGUGGGGAGCAAACAGG